CGUAUCACCCAAGACAACUUUACGGAGUUGACGAUUGACGGAGCGAAGCGACGUCAAAGCGUUCAUUAAAGUCGAGUUGGCUUAGGGAUACGUUCGUUGGGUAGGGGAGCGUUCUGUAAGCCUGUGAAGGUGUGUCGUGAGGCAUGCUGGAGGUAUCAGAAGUGCGAAUGCUGACAUAAGUAACGAUAAAGCGGGUGAAAAGCCCGCUCGCCGGAAGACCAAGGGUUCCUGUCCAACGUUAAUCGGGGCAGGGUGAGUCGACCCCUAAGGCGAGGCCGAAAGGCGUAGUCGAUGGGAAACGGGUUAAUAUUCCCGUACUUGGUGUUACUGCGAAGGGGGGACGGAGAAGGCUAUGUUGGCCGGGCGACGGUUGUCCCGGUUUAAGCGUGUAGGUGUGUGUUCCAGGUAAAUCCGGUUCACUUUAACACUGAGGCGUGACGACGAGGCACUACGGUGCUGAAGCAACAAAUGCCCUGCUUCCAGGAAAAGCCUCUAAGCAUCAGGUAACACGAAAUCGUACCCCAAACCGACACAGGUGGUCAGGUAGAGAAUACCA
rnacentral:rRNA from 1 species